UACAGCUGUAUCAAAUUCAGUGCCUGCCGCAUCCAUGGCUGGCACUGGCCCAAAAGGCUGCCACAGAGACACUGUAACUCAUGGGCCCUGUUCCUCUCUGCUGAGCCUCAGGGAUAAAUUUUGUUACAGACAUUG
rnacentral:snoRNA from 1 species